AACGAACGCUGGCGGCAGGCUUAACACAUGCAAGUCGAACGCCCCGCAAGGGGAGUGGCAGACGGGUGAGUAACGCGUGGGAAUCUACCCAGAACUUCGGAACAACUGAGGGAAACUUCAGCUAAUACCGGAUACGCCCUACGGGGGAAAGAUUUAUCGGUUUUGGAUGAGCCCGCGUUGGAUUAGCUAGUUGGUGGGGUAAUGGCCUACCAAGGCGACGAUCCAUAGCUGGUCUGAGAGGAUGAUCAGCCACACUGGGACUGAGACACGGCCCAGACUCCUACGGGAGGCAGCAGUGGGGAAUAUUGGACAAUGGGCGAAAGCCUGAUCCAGCCAUGCCGCGUGAGUGAUGAAGGCCUUAGGGUUGUAAAGCUCUUUCAGUGGGGAAGAUAAUGACGGUACCCACAGAAGAAGCCCCGGCUAACUUCGUGCCAGCAGCCGCAGUAAGAC
rnacentral:rRNA from 1 species